rnacentral:rRNA from 1 species
UACAUGUGGGGCAAGCGUUGUUCGGAAUUACUGGGCAUAAAGGGUGCGUAGGCGGUUCGUUUAGUCACUGGUGAAAGUUUUCGGCCCAACCGGAAAAUUGCCUGUGAUACUGGCGAACUUGAGUGCGUGAGGGGUGGGGGGAACGAGCAGUGUAGCGGUGAAAUGCGUAGAUAUUGCUCGGAAGGCCGGAGCCGAAGGGGCCCCACUGGUACGUAACUGACGCUGAGGCACGAAAGCGUGGGGAGCAAACAGG